CGCAGACGUUUAAGGCACGUUUAUACCAGUUCGACGCUUGCUUUCAUGCAGUUCUUCUAGCGCUACCAUUGUCAUCCAAGCUGUCAAAAGCCAAAGGCGCAUUGACAGCGCAAAUACAAAUCGUAAAAUAAACAAACAAAACCGCUUUGUGAUAUUUUACAUUUUAUUACUAAAACCAGUUGUUAUUCGUUGGGAUAUCAUCGUAUCCAUUUUGUUCGAGCAUUUUGCUGAAAGGAAAACAUAAAGGAAAAAUGUCCCGGGAAUCGGUAUCUCAGGCACCGGAUUGUUCGCUUCUUGCGUUGGCGGCUAGGUUGGCACAGUUAACGAAUAAAUCCUGUCCGCCAGUAUCGUCAGUAUCAAAGCUACUGCAGAACCGUCAUCCUUCUAUAGGAUUAAAAAUAAUGCUUUGAUGGAAACUUCAGCUAAAAUCUCCAAGCCAGCAACUUCCAGAACAGCGCAAUCCAUCAUCAUUCCAGUCCGAUUAACUGUGAAUAGAUUUUCGCAGCAAAUAGCAUCACCACCGGCAGCUUAUAAUUCUGAAAUAAAAAAGAAAAAAGGUUAUCGACCAACACCUGUAGUUAAAAAUCCAUCCAAUCCCGAACCAGCAUCAAACAUCAUCAAAGAUAUCUUCUUCAUACAGCAUAACACUGCCAGGGUUUGGAACUUCCUCCUUAUCCUCUUCCCUUGGUCCAAAGUAGUUCGGCAUAGUCCAUAGGCCAUCGUCAGUCCAGGUUGGCAUUGUCCACCGGUGUGUUCGUACCUUGUUUUCCUCCUUCCCAACCAAACCCAGUAUCGCGUGCAGAAGCUGAAAUUAAAACGUAAAGGAAAAAAUGUCUCGGGAAUCGGUAUCUAAGGCACCGGAUUGCUCGCUUCUUGCGUUGGCGGCUAGGUUGCCA